rnacentral:rRNA from 1 species
CCUACGGGAGGCAGCAGUGGGGAAUAUUGGACAAUGGGCGAAAGCCUGAUCCAGCAAUGCCGCGUGUGUGAAGAAGGCCUUCGGGUUGUAAAGCACUUUAAGUUGGGAAGAAAAAGCUCUGGCUAAUAUCUAGAGCCUUGACGGUACCAACAGAAUAAGCACCGGCUAACUCUGUGCCAGCAGCCGCGGUAAUACAGAGGGUGCUAGCGUUAAUCGGAUUUACUGGGCGUAAAGCGUGCGUAGGCGGUUUGAUAAGUCGAUUGUGAAAGCCCCGGGCUUAACCUGGGAAUUGCAGUUGAUACUGUCAGACUAGAAAACGGUAGAGGGAGGCGGAACUCCAGGUGUAGCGGUGAAAUGCGUAGAUAUCUGGAAGAACACCGAUGGCGAAGGCAACCUCCUGGGCCUGUUUUGACGCUGAGGCACGAAAGCGUGGGUAGCAAACAGGAUUAGAUACCCUGGUAGUCCACGCCGUAAACGAUGAGAACUUGACGUUGGUUUGCUUAGCAAAUCGGUGUCGUAGCUAACGCGAUAAGUUCUCCGCCUGGGGAGUACGGCCGCAAGGUUGAAAACUCAAAAGUAGUAAGUCGGACGCGAGAGAGCGACGACGACGACGAGAGGAGGAGG